rnacentral:rRNA from 1 species
AGCCGCCGCGGUAAUACGUAGGGUGCAAGCGUUAAUCGGAAUUACUGGGCGUAAAGCGUGCGCAGGCGGUUAUAUAAGACAGAUGUGAAAUCCCCGGGCUCAACCUGGGAACUGCAUUUGUGACUGUAUAGCUAGAGUACGGCAGAGGGGGAUGGAAUUCCGCGUGUAGCAGUGAAAUGCGUAGAUAUGCGGAGGAACACCGAUGGCGAAGGCAAUCCCCUGGGCCUGUACUGACGCUCAUGCACGAAAGCGUGGGGAGCAAACAGGAUUAGAUACCCCCGUAGUCCCUGUCUCUUAUACA